GUAUAUCUAGUAUAAUAAAUAUAAUGGGUUUAGGACCUUUAGAUAAUGAUAUAUU
rnacentral:tRNA from 1 species